rnacentral:lncRNA from 1 species
UUGGAAUAUAAAAUCCACAUCAGUAGAAUAUUCUAGCUUAACAGGAUAUUUACUUCUAGCUCAACCAAGUCCAUGUCCGGUAGAUUACUUCUUAUUCCAGAAUUUCCAGAUUCUAGAGACUUCUUAGUUAGCUAGUUAUUUUCUCUAUAAAUACUAGAGUUUUUACACAUUUUAAUUCAUUGGAUUGUAGUCUCCAAUCCCUCCUUCCAUGGAGGUUUCUUCCUCCUAUAUGGAGUGUCUUUCUCUUCCUCCUAUUAUAGACUGUUAUCAUCCUCCUAUUUUGGAGUUGUUUGUUCCUCCUAUUAUGGAGUGUAAUUCCUCCUUUAAUGGAGUGUUUUGUUCUUCUCCUUAUGGAGUUUAGUACAUUGUUUUUCAUUCAAUAAAUCUAAUAUGGUACCAGAGCAAAACAUUUGCUUCCUGCUGCUAUUUUUUCUGGAGUUAAUUCAUCUCCAUUUCCUGUGUUCUGCUCAAUGAAGCAGAUCUAAUUUUCUUCUAUCUUGGAAUAAUUCUGGAAGUUUCAUUUCCAGCAGAUUUUAGUUCCUUCAUCAGAAAUAAGUUCGAUUUUAGUUUCUUCUAAUUUUCUACUGCCGCUUUAUUUUUCCACACGUCACUCAGAUCUGGCCCCAAUUAAUCAGUACUGAUGUUAUCUACCGUGUGGAAUUUUGCAUCAAAUUGUAUAGCUGGAAGUCUGGGCCUGAAAAUGACAGAAUUGGACAAUGGAUUUCAGUCGGUGAUGGCAGAUCCUUCCAAUCUCCAGAUGAUAACUGAAGCUGAAAUACUUUUGCUGGAAUUAUUCUGUUCUCUGCCAUCAUUUGGUAAAAUAUGUGUGACGCAUUGAACUCUUGGUGGCUGCAUUCUCCUAGAGUUCCGAUUGACAACGUGAUUUCUCAAGCAAAUUUGCAUAUAAUCCAAUUUCACCUCCAUUGCUGAGAUAAAAGUUCAAUUAGAUGUCAUUUUCGGAUUCAGAAUCAUCCUCUUCUGCAACUUUUAAGCUCGGUUUACCAACAUUCGAAAUUGCAAAUUCGAUGCGUUCACAGUGGAGACCGAAGAGGAAUGCUCACUUUAGCAGGUUUCAUGCUUGUCAUUGAAGAUUAUACUGGAAUAUGUUACUGUAUCACGGAGAUUCAACUCGUAUAUGAUCAAAGAAAAUUCAAAGUUCUGAUGUGCAUACAAGGUGUUUGGAAAAAUGUCUAACAAAGCUCCUCUGCAGACAGUUUCCCACCAGUCAAUUGAAGAAGGAAUGGAUUCCGAUUGAGCUCAAUUUUUGAUGUUUGAUUCAAUCCCAGCACUCUGAAAUUUCUCAUAGCAUUUUUCCAUUAUAUCCCUUCACCCGUUGCUAGCCUGCCACCAAAAGCUCGCAAGGUGGAGUUCAUGGUCCAUGCAUUCGGUUCACAUUCUUCCAACCAAAGCAUUUGUACAAGAGUUGAUUCCAUCUCUGUAACCUCUUUGAUUUUCCAUAAACAUCGAUGAGAGUAUUGUAUGUGAUUGUGUUAGGCUUGAUUUCUCGAACUGCCAUGUCAGAAAACAAAAGAGCAGUGUAUUUGCAUCCAUAUUUCACUCAUUAAUCUUCAAGAUGGAUCUCCUAGUCCAUCUUGAGGGGGGUGUGUUGGAAUAUAAAAUCCACAUCAGUAGAAUAUUCUAGCUUAACAGGAUAUUUACUUCUAGCUCAACCAAGUCCAUGUCCGGUAGAUUACUUCUUAUUCUAGAAUUUCCAGAUUCUAGAGACUUCCUAGUUAGCUAGUUAUUUUCUCUAUAAAUACUAGAGUUUUUACACAUUUUAAUUCAUUGGAUUGUAGUCUCCAAUCCCUCCUUCCAUGGAGGUUUCUUCCUCCUAUAUGGAGUGUCUUUCUCUUCCUCCUAUUAUAGACUGUUAUCAUCCUCCUAUUUUGGAGUUGUUUGUUCCUCCUAUCAUGGAGUGUAAUUCCUCCUUUAAUGGAGUGUUUUGUUCUUCUCCUUAUGGAGUUUAGUACAUUGUUUUUCAUUCAAUAAAUCUAAU